CUGUUGUUAGUUGCCAGCGAGUCGAGUCGGGAACUCUAACAAGACUGCCAGUGCAAACUGUGAGGAAGGUGGGGAUGACGUCAAAUCAUCACGGCCCUUACGCCUUGGGCUACACACGUGCUACAAUGGCCGGUACAGAGAGCAGCCACUUCGCAAGGAGGAGCGAAUCUAUAAAACCGGUCUCAGUUCGGAUCGGGGUCUGCAACUCGACCCCGUGAAGCUGGAAUCGCUAGUAAUCGGAUAUCAGCCAUGAUCCGGUGAAUACGUUCCCGGGCCUU
rnacentral:rRNA from 1 species